rnacentral:tRNA from 1 species
UAACAAAUUGCUUAACUUAUAGCAAAGCAUUGCAGAUGCUUUCAUGGUUGUAUAACCUUUUUUAG